rnacentral:rRNA from 1 species
GGCGAGCGGCGAACGGGUGAGGAACACAUCGGAACGUGCCCCGGAGUGGGGGAUAACGCCGCGAAAGCGGCGCUAAUACCGCAUAUGCUCUGAGGAGGAAAGCGGGGGACCUGCGAGGGCCUCGCGCUCUGGGAGCGGCCGAUGUCCGAUUAGCUAGUUGGUGGGGUAAUGGCUCACCAAGGCGACGAUCGGUAGCUGGUCUGAGAGGAUGAUCAGCCACACUGGGACUGAGACACGGCCCAGACUCCUACGGGAGGCAGCAGUGGGGAAUUUUGGACAAUGGGGGCAACCCUGAUCCAGCCAUGCCGCGUGCGGGAAGAAGGCCUUCGGGUUGUAAACCGCUUUUAGUCGGGAAGAAAAGAUCAAGCCGAAUAAGCUUGGUUGUUGACGGUACCGGCGGAAUAAGCACCGGCUAACUACGUGCCAGCAGCCGCGGUAAUACGUAGGGUGCGAGCGUUAAUCGGAAUUACUGGGCGUAAAGCGUGCGCAGGCGGUUCGUUAAGUUCGAUGUGAAAGCCCCGGGCUCAACCUGGGAAUGGCAUGGGAAA